AGUGAACGCUGGCGGUAGGCCUAACACAUGCAAGUCGAACGGCAGCACAGUAAGAGCUUGCUCUUACGGGUGGCGAGUGGCGGACGGGUGAGGAAUACAUCGGAAUCUACUUUUUCGUGGGGGAUAACGUCGGGAAACUUACGCUAAUACCGCAUACGACCUACGGGUGAAAGCAGGGGAUCUUCGGACCUUGCGCGAUUGAAUGAGCGGAUGUCGGAUUAGCUAGUUGGCGGGGUAAAGGCCCACCAAGGCGACGAUCCGCAGCUGGUCGGAGAGGAUGAUCAGCCACACUGGAACUGUGACACGGUCCAGACUCCUACGGGAGGCAGCAGUGGGGAAUAUUGGACAAUGGGCGCAAGCCUGAUCCAGCCAUACCGCGUGGGUGAAAAAGGCCUUCGGGUUGUAAAGCCCUUCUGUUGGGAAAGAAAAGCAGCAGGUUAAUACCCCGCUGUUCUGACGGUACCCAAAGAAUAAGCACCGGCUAACUUCGUG
rnacentral:rRNA from 1 species